rnacentral:misc_RNA from 2 species
AACGCACCUUGCGCUCCUUGGUAUUCCUUGGAGCAUGCCUGUUUGAGAGUCUUGAAUAUCUCUGCUUUUAUGUUUUUUAAUUAAGAUAUAACAAGUCAGGUCCUUGAGUCUGCUUGCGGUUUGUUACGAACACAAGCUUACUUUAAAUGAAUUAGCUGGAUUUCAGCAGAGUUGUUAAGUAACAUUUUGAACUCUCGUAAUAUGAAGUCUGCUCAUAAUCAGUCUUUUGACUAUUAAUUUCUAUUGGCCUCAAAUCAGGUAGGACUACCCGCUGAACUUAA